AGUAAUGAAGUAAAACUUACAUUUAGUUUCGACCUAAAAAUUAGAUUAAUAUAUCCUUACUU
rnacentral:tRNA from 1 species